rnacentral:tRNA from 1 species
AGGAGUUUAGGUUAAAACAGACCAAGGACCUUCAAAGCCCUAAGCAAGUAUUAUUCACUUAACUCCUG